rnacentral:rRNA from 1 species
AAAUCGCCCKUUAMUUGUGGGCUUGAAUGAAUGGACAAACGAAAMAUCUACUGUCUCAAAAMUACUCUUAAAAAUUAUUCUUUAGGUGAAGAAACCUAAAUCAAAUUAAAGGACAAGAAGACCCUGUAGAGCUUAGUUCUCUAUUAUUAACUAAACUUACAACUAACCUUUAUUAUCUUAUUUAUUUACUUAAUAUAGAACUUGGCUGGGGCGGCAAGGGAAAUAAAUCUUCCCUUAUUAACUCUAGGAAUAUUAUCCUUAUCUAUGACCCUUAAAUCUAUAGAUCAAAAAACAAAGCUACCUCAGGGAUAACAGAUUAAUCCUUCUUAAGAGCCCGCAUUGACAGAAGGGUUUGACACCUCGAUGUUGGCUUAAGGUAUCCUAUAAAUUAGCAGCAGUUUAUAAGGGUAGGUUUGUUCAACCUUUAARACCUUACGUGAU